rnacentral:rRNA from 1 species
AACGAACGCUGGCGGCAGGCUUAACACAUGCAAGUCGAACGGUUGUAGCAAUACAGCAGUGGCAGACGGGUGAGUAACACGUGGGAACCUUCCUAGGGGUACGGAACAACUCAGGGAAACUUGAGCUAAUACCGUAUACGUCCGUGAGGAGAAAGUUUUAACGCCCCUAGACGGGCCCGCGUAGGAUUAGGUAGUUGGUGAGGUAACGGCUCACCAAGCCUACGAUCCUUAGCUGAUCUGAGAGGANGAUCAGCCACACUGGGACUGAGACACGGCCCAGACUCCUACGGGAGGCAGCAGUGGGGAAUCUUGGACAAUGGGCGCAAGCCUGACGCAGCGACGCCGCGUGAGGGAUGACGGCCU